rnacentral:rRNA from 1 species
GUCUAUGGCCACAGCAUCCUGAAAGAGCCUGAUCUUGUCUGAUCAGGGAAGCUAAGCAGGUCCGGGCCUGGUGAGUACUUGGAUGGGAGAAUUAUAUGAUGCAUAAUUUAAGCUAUUAAUCUAGAAAGUCAUUCACU